rnacentral:rRNA from 1 species
UGCGAUCAUACCAGCACUAAUGCACCGGAUCCCAUCAGAACUCCGCAGUUAAGCGUGCUUGGACGAGAGUAGUACUAGGAUGGGUGACCCCCUGGGAAGUCCUCGUGUUGCA